UACGGGGGGGGGCAAGCGUUGUUCGGAAUUACUGGGCGUAAAGGGCUCGUAGGCGGCCAACUAAGUCGGAUGUGAAAUCCCCAGGCUUAACCUGGGAACUGCAUCCGAUACUGGAUGGCUUGAAUCCGGGAGAGGGAUGCGGAAUUCCAGGUGUAGCGGUGAAAUGCGUAGAGAUCAGGAAGAACAUCGGUGGCGAAGGCGCUCUGCUGGACCAUAACUGACACUCAGGGACGAAAGCUAGGGGAGCAAACGGG
rnacentral:rRNA from 1 species